rnacentral:lncRNA from 1 species
GUCGUUCUCAUCACCGGCAACUGCCACUGCCUGAACCUGUCUCUGCUUCGAGCAGAGGAGGACGAGCACGCCUGCUGGGCUGCCUCCCUCGCACGCGCAUGGUCCGGUUUCAGCCCAGUCCAGCAGCGCCCCGCGCCUGGGCCACUUUCCGCAAGCCAGCCCAGGAGGCCCAAUGUGAGCAGCGCAGUCCCAGCAGAUUCGGCCCGUUUCUAUUUUCUUCCUGUCCAGUGGAUUUAGCUAUUUUCCCAAAGAGUGCUAGUUUUGCAGAAUAGUCCCUAGGCAACAUGCAUAUAAUAACUCCGAAUUUGUGCAUCGGAUUAAAAUGAAUUAUAUAUGAAAAAUGCUUAGAAUUAUGUGUAGGUUAAUUAUAUGCCACUUUCAUCCAUGUUUAAAAUGUCUAAAAUGAUGUUUGUUUAAAUUUGCUCCUAUGUCAUGCUAAAAUGAUUUAUUUCAUAACUAAAUAACUGUGGCUCCGAUUUAAAUAAUCUUUAUAUGUAAAUGGGGUAGAAAAAUGCCUAGAUUUACUUGGUGCACUCAUCUUGCAUGUUUAACAACUUUAAAAUAAUGCUUAGGGCAGAACAGUACCAAACCUUAAAAUAUGCAUAUGGGGUUUUACCGGAAUUGUUGUCCUUUGUUUCCGGCCUCAUUUAAACUUGCCUAGAUAGGUAGUUUUCAUUUGCUUCACCCUCUUGCCAUGUUUAACAACAUUUAAUAUUGUUGAGUUCAUAAACGAGAUCGAACUAAAUAAGUCAUGUGGUGUUCCGUCAAUAUGCAACUCGUUGCAUAUUGAGCUCCACUUAAUUUGUAGAAUUGCUUGUGCAUUUUGCCAUGCCAUGCUUCAUUAAACCGGGUAUGCAUCAUACUUGAUUGUGCAUCAUGCCAUGCGUAUGUGAUGGUUGAUUACUUUGUUGUUUGGUUCUUUCCGGUGUUGCUUCUUCGGGUUGGUUCCGAGAACGUCGUGUUUGUGAGGAUCCGUUCGACUAUGUCCGUUUGCCUUCUUCAUGGACUCAUUCUUCUUCCUUGCGGGAUCUCAGGCAAGAUGACCAUACCCUCGAAAUCACUUCUAUCUUUGCUCGCUUAGUUGCUCGCUCUUUUGCUAUGCCUAUGCUACGAUACCUACCACUUGCUUAUCAUGCCACCCAUAUUGUUGAACCAAGCCUCUAACCCACCUUGUCCUAGCAAACCGUUGUUUGGCUAUGUUACCGCUUUGCUCAGCCCCUCUUAUAGUGUUGUUAGUUGCAGGUGAAGAUUGAAGUUUGUUCCUUGUUGGAACAUGGAGAUGUUGUUCCUUGUUGGAACAUGAUUAUUUUGUUGGGAUAUCACAAUAUCUAUUAUUUAAUUAAUGCAUCUAUAUACUUGGUAAAGGGUGGAAGGCUCGGCCUUAUGCCCAGUGUUUUGUUCCACUCUUGCCGCCCUAGUUUUCGUCAUAUCGGUGUUAUGUUCCUAGAUUUUUGCGUUCCUUACACGGUUGGGUCAUAAUGGGAACCCCUUGACAGUUCGCCUUCAAUAAAACUGCUCCAGCAAGGCCCAACCUUGGUUUUACCAUUUGCCACCUAGCCUUUUUCCCUUGGAGUCGCGCAUCCCGAGGGUCAUCUUUAUUUUAACCCCCCCCCGGGGGGCCAGUGCUUGUCUAAGUGUUGGUCCAAACUAGAGCCACUUGCGGCGCCACCUCGGGGAAACUUGAGGGCUGGUUAUAGCUGUACGUAGUGUUCAUCCGGUGUUGCCCUGAGAACGAGAUAUGUGCAGCUCCUAUCAGGAUGUUGGCGCAUCGGGCGGUCUUGCUGGACUUGUUUUACCAUUGUCGAGGAUGUCUUGUAACCGGGAUUCCGAGUCUGAUCGGGUCUUCCCGCUAGAAGGAAUAUCCUUCGUUCAUCGUGAGAGCUUGUGAUGGGCUAAGUUGGGACACCCCUGCAGGGUUAUGAUCUUUCGAAAGCCGUGCCCACGGUUAUGGGCAGAUGGGAAUUUGUUAACGUCCGAUUGUAGAAAACCUGAAGUUGACCUUAAUUAAAAUACAUCAACCCCGUGUGUAACCGUGAUGUUCUCUUCCGGCGGAGUCCGGGAAGUGAACUCGGUGUUGGAGUUAUGCUUGACGUAGGUUGUUCUAGGAUCACUUCUUGAUCAUACUUUUAUCGACCGUGCUUUGCCUUCUCUUCUCGCUCUCAUUUGCAUAUGUUAGCCACCAUAUAUGCUAAUCGCUUGCUGCAGCUCCACCUCAUACCUUUACCUUACCCAUAAGCUUAAAUAGUCUUGAUCGCAUGGGUGUGAGAUUGCUGAGUCCCCGUGACUCACAGAUACUUCCAAAACCAGUUUGCAGGUGCCGAUGUUUCUGAGCAGGUGACGCAAACAAGGUCAAGGAGGAGCUCAAUGAAGAUCUUGUCCUUUAUGUUGUUUCGUUUCGAGUUGAUCAGUAGUGGAGCCCAGUUGGGGUCGAUCGGGGAUCUGUGUAGCAUUUGGGGUAGUCUUCUUUUAUUUUGGGUUCCGUAGUCGGACCUUGAUUGUAUCUGGUUGAUGUAAUGCUUUAUUCAUUUAAUUGUGUGAAGUGGCAAUUGUAAGCCAUCUAUGUAUCUCUUUCCCUUAUGUAUUACAUGGGUUGUGUGAAGAUUACCUCACUUGCGACAUUGCUUUCAAUGCGGUUAUGCCUCUAAGUCAUGCUUCGACACGUGGGAGAUAUAGCCGCAUCGAGGGCGUUACAAGUUGGUAAUCAGAGCCUUCCCCGACCUUAGGAGCUCCCUGCUUGAUCGAAUAGCUGGCGUUGUUGAGUCUAGAAAAAUGUUUUGAG